UAAGCUCACUCUUGACGUUGGUUAUUGACAUUUGUCCUGAACUUCUGUCUCUCCCAGUUGUUACAGAGCAAUACUUAUCUUGUCUCUUUGACAAUAGGUUCCUGCCCCAAGUUUAAUUCACUGCCACGGGACAACAAGUCUCAGAGUAGUGAAACCAUUGAAGAUUAGUCGGUGAAGGCAGUACUCGCUUCAAUCAUUUUCUAUUGAGAACUGUUAUAGACUUUUUUUCUUUAUCUGCGGAAUAGGACACCUAACAGCCCUUGAGGACCUAACAAUUAUAUAAUGUCCAAAUUUGACAUACAUACAUGAGAAGUGAAAUAUCUCCUGAAUCUUUGAAGUUUAAAUAUCUUAAAUUGCCCGCUCUAUCAGAUGGGCUGCUUCAUAUUACACCACUGCAAAACCUCAAAAUCCGCAGCUGUGAAAAUUUGAUUGAAUUGUCAAAUUAGGUAGACUGUUUCUCCUCACUACGAAUCCUGGCAAUCUCAGACUGUCCAAACAUAAAGUCUUUGCCAGAAUGCCCACAGCAUCUGAGACUACUUCAACACUUCUCUGUUAGAGAUUGCCCUCAUCUUCAAGGGUGAUACCAAAACGAAAGAGGCAGUGAUUGUCAACCUAAUUGCUCGCAUCCCAUAUGUUAACAUUGGACCAUCAGGAUUGCAAAUGCUCCAUGCUGCAUCUACAAUCACUGAGUUGAUGAAAAGAUAUAUGUCAAAAAAUUGGCCUGCAGAUAUGGACUGAAAAGCUAUACUGAAUCAGCAUAAAGUAAACUAAAGACAUACUGUCCUCUCUGAAAACCUUGAGAAGGCAGCAAGCAGCAAGAGGGGCAAAUACAAAAAUCUGUUCUCAACUCGACGAUGCCACUUGCCUCCAAGUUUAAAACCUUCUGCCACUCCUAUAUAGAUUCUUAAACAUCAUCAGCCUGAAUAUUUUCACACAGGCAG